GUGGGGAAUCUUGCGCAAUGGGCGAAAGCCUGACGCAGCCAUGCCGCGUGAAUGAUGAAGGUCUUAGGAUUGUAAAAUUCUUUCACCGGGGACGAUAAUGACGGUACCCGGAGAAGAAGCCCCGGCUAACUUCGUGCCAGCAGCCGCGGUAAUACGAAGGGGGCUAGCGUUGCUCGGAAUUACUGGGCGUAAAGGGCGCGUAGGCGGACAGUUAAGUUGGGGGUGAAAGCCCGGGGCUCAACCUCGGAACUGCCUUCAAUACUGGCUGUCUUGAGUAUGAGAGAGGUGUGUGGAACUCCGAGUGUAGAGGUGAAAUUCGUAGAUAUUCGGAAGAACACCAGUGGCGAAGGCGACUCACUGGCCCGUUACUGACGCUGAGGCGCGAAAGCGUGGGGAGCAAACAGGAUUAGAAACCCGGGUAGUCC
rnacentral:rRNA from 1 species